UGGUGCCCGUCACCCACUGAGGAAGAUCCCCGAGGGGCGAGGGGCGGCAGGGAUC
rfam:Myotis brandtii contig151692, whole genome shotgun sequence.